rnacentral:misc_RNA from 1 species
AAUUCUCAAAACUCGUUGGCUUUAUUGACAGCGAGGCUUUGGAUGUGGGGGCUGCUGGACUCUAACGAGAUCAGCUCUCCUUAAAUGCAUUAGUGGUUACUGUUUUCCACUACCAGGUGUGAUAAUAUCUACGCCUCGGUGGAAAUGUUAAGUGUAGCUGCUUUCUAACCGUCCAUGCAAUGUGGACAACUUGAAAC